rnacentral:lncRNA from 1 species
GAACAGCCUCUUUCAAAAUGCAGCUUGACUGUGAAUCACAGCAAAAAACUGGAAUAACCCUGCCAGGACCUAGACGCUUUACGAUUCAUCAUGUUGAACUUGAUACAUACAGUAUAGUACCUUGAAAACGAAUCAUCUGCUAGUUCAGUAUUUUCUCCUUAUAAUCACUCCCUCCCAGGGCAUGUAAUUUAUUUACUGAUCUUAAAAAAAAAAAAAA